AGCAAGAGCAUUACGAAUUCGAGCAACUGCAGAAAUCGUAUUAGUUCUGGGUCGAAGAUGAAUAUGAUCCCUCAAGAACUCAAGCGUUAGCUUCGUUUUGGGAAUUGGGUACUUAGCCGGGUCCACGGGUCCAACAUGGAGCACUUUUCCUACUCGGAGCUCAAUCUUCUGCUUGGUACCUUCAGGUGGUUCCUUGAGUACCCCCUCAACGGAGACGCACGCGCCAGUAUGAACAAGCGAGCUCAGAUCCGCCACUUCUUUCUCCACUAUAACCUGGAGGUUGGCCGGACAUGAGCCAUCGUUCACCUCCAAAAAUGCGAACGAUCCCUUACCCUGCUCUCUCCCGGUCUUCACCCAGCCACCUAUCCGUACAAGCUGGCCACCGAGGCCGGCACCACCGUCAGGGCGACAGACAAUGGAUCGAAUUGGGACCCUAUCGGAGAACGGGUGCUUGAGAACUUUGG
rnacentral:misc_RNA from 1 species